rnacentral:guide_RNA from 1 species
ACAUAAAGACAAUAGGUGUUCAUUGCAGUAGAUAUUGAUAUAAUUUAU